GUGCACUGAUCUUGUUCGUGGUGCAAAGGACAAGAGGCUCAGGGUUAAGGGACCCGUGAGAAUGCCAACCAAGGUUCUGCACAUUACCACCAGGAAGGCUCCUUGUGGUGAAGGUACCAACACAUGGGACAGAUUUGAGUUGCGUGUCCACAAGAGGGUUAUUGACCUCUUUAGCUCUUCUGAUGUGGUCAAGCAAAUUACAUCCAUUACAAUUGAACCUGGUGUGGAAGUGGAGGUUACAAUUGCCGACUCUUAAACUGGACCAGUUUUCCGCAUAGCCUUC